AUGGAGUUUGGGCUGAACUGGGUUGUCCUUGUUGCUAUUUUACAAGGUGUCCAGUGUGAGGUGCAGCUGGUGGAGUCUGGGGGAGGCUUGGUGCAGCCAGGGGGUCUCUGAGAUUCUCUUGUGCAGCGUCUGGGUUCACCUUCCGUAGCUAUACCAUGAGCUGGGUCCGCAGGCUCCAGGGAAGGGGCUGGACUGGGUCUCAGUUAUUAUUACUAGUGGUGGUAGCACAUACUAUGCAGACUCUGUGAAGGGCCGAUUCACCAUCUCCAGAGACAACUCCAAGAACACGCUGUAUCUGCAAAUGAACCGUCUGAGAUCUGAGGACACGGCUGUGUAUUACGGUGUGAAAGAUACACAGAGAGGGGAAGUCACCCCCUCCUUCUGCCUAUAA